CAUACUAAUUAUGUUGUCUGGAAUGUUUUCAGUCAACAUGUUAAGAAAGAAGAGAAUAAAACCUGAGCAGGAUGCAAAAGAACACAUAUUGUCGGGCAAAGACAAAGCCUUCAUUGAGGGACGACAAAUCAACACAUUCAAAGGGAGAGGUGUGUUUGCACUUGAGCACAUUGAACCAUCCACCUUUGUUGUUGAAUACCGUGGGAUUCUCUCUCAAAGUAAACAUGUUAAAGAUGUUCAAGGCAACUACUUGUUUGACUUCACAUGGAAUGGAACACGUUAUUGCAUAGAUGCAACAAAAGAGGACGGUGG